GACGUAGGAUGCAAGCGUUGUCCGGAUUUAUUGGGCGUAAAGAGUUCGUAGGCGGUCUGUUAAGUCUGAUGUUAAAGAUCAGGGCCCAACCCUGGGAGUGCAUUGGAUACUGGCAGACUGGAGUGUGGUAGAGGUAAGUGGAAUUCCUGGUGUAGCGGUGAAAUGCGUAGAUAUCAGGAAGAACACCGGUGGCGUAGGCGACUUACUGGGCCAUAACUGACGCUGAGGAACGAAAGCCAGGGGAGCAAAUGGG
rnacentral:rRNA from 1 species